AGAGCUGCCGCCGCUGUUGCCUCCCGUUCCUCCAGAGACACCCGAUCCUCCUCCCGUUGCCACCUCCACCAUCACGCUCUGGCCGUUCUGUUAAAGUCAUCAAGAAUUUAACGGAAAAAGAAGCACGAUUUUAAAUUCGGCGGAUACAGAACAGGACUAGUUUGCCCUCAACGGGCUAGUUUGGCAAGUAACUGUAGAAACGACGCGUAGGCUAGUUGCAAAAAAAAAAAAACUCCAGACAAAUAUAACGCUUUUUCCCGUCAUCUAGUUAGCUGGUAGUAUUCAUAUAAAGAUAAUGACUACGACAGCUGCUAUAAAGAUAAGCAUAACGCGACUAUCUAAAAGAAUUGGCAUAUGAGAAAAAGAAGAA